CUCACGGCUGACACGUGUUUGAAGCGCCGUGGAACCCCGGAUGGUGCGAGAGUGGCCCCGCGAGCUGGUAGAGCGCGCCGCUCUGCGCCGUGUCGGUUCUGACUAGACUGACAGACCCCCUCCCCCUGGAGCUCCCUGGUGAUGCACGAUGCCAAUUGUUGAUAAGCUAAAGGAAGCUCUGAAACCUGGUCGGAAGGAUUCAACAGAUGAUGGUGAUCUGGGGAAGCUCUUGGCUUCUUCUGCCAAAAAAGUCCUCCUACAGAAGAUAGAAUUUGAGCCUGCGAGCAAGAGCUUCUCUUACCAAUUAGAGUCCUUAAAGAGCAAAUAUGUACUGUUGAACCCCAAAACAGAAAGUGCUGGUCGCCAUAAGAGUUGUGAUGAGGCACACAUCAGGAGACAGGGCAGUGAUCAUGGGUUUGAAAGCUGUAGUGACGGUGUUCCUGCCCCACAGAAAGUUCUCUUCCCUGUGGAACGACUAUCUUUGAAGUGGGAGCGCAUUUACCGAGUUGGAGCAGGUCUCCAUAACUUAGGCAACACCUGCUUCUUGAACUCCACCAUACAGUGUUUGACCUACACACCCCCUCUAGCCAACUACUUGCUCUCUAAGGAACAUACUCGGAAUUGUCACCAAGGAGGUUUUUGUAUGCUGUGUGUUAUGCAGAAUCACAUGAUCCAGGCCUUUGCCAAUAGUGGCAAUGCUAUCAAGCCAGUCUCCUUUAUCCGAGACCUGAAAAAAAUUGCUAGGCACUUCCGCUUUGGAAACCAGGAAGAUGCACAUGAAUUUCUUCGGUACAUUAUUGAUGCUAUGCAAAAGGCCUGCUUGAAUGGCUAUACAAAAUUAGAUCGCCAGACACAGGCAACUACUUUAGUCCAUCAGAUUUUUGGAGGUUACCUCAGAUCUCGGGUUAAGUGCUCAGUAUGUAAAAGCGUCUCUGACACCUACGAUCCCUAUUUGGAUGUUGCACUGGAGAUCAGGCAAGCUGCAAAUAUUGUGCGUGCCUUGGAGCUGUUUGUAAAACCAGAUGUUUUGAGCGGAGAGAAUGCUUACAUGUGUGCUAAAUGCAAGAAAAAAGUACCAGCCAGUAAGCGCUUCACAAUUCAUAGGACAUCCAAUGUCUUAACUCUCUCUCUGAAGCGCUUUGCAAACUUCAGUGGGGGUAAGAUUACCAAGGAUGUGGGAUAUCCAGAAUUUCUUAAUAUACGUCCAUAUAUGUCCCAAAGUAAUGGUGACCCUGUUAUGUAUGGAUUAUAUGCUGUACUUGUCCAUUCAGGUUAUAGCUGCCAUGCUGGACAUUAUUACUGUUAUGUCAAGGCUAGCAAUGGGCAGUGGUAUCAGAUGAAUGAUUCUUUGGUCCAUUCUAGUAAUAUCAAAGUGGUCCUGAAUCAGCAAGCCUAUGUUCUGUUCUAUCUCAGAAUUCCAGGCUCUAAGAAGAGUCCUGAGGGCCCCAUUGCAAAAACUGCCUCUGCCCUUCCUACUCGAACAAACAAUGUAGUUCCAGAACACAUCAAGAAAAAUAUUAGUAAUGGUAUUGUUCCCUCACCACUAAUUGGAAAGAAAUUGGACUUGGUAUCGGUGAAAAAAUUGCAAACAGCAGAAGAAAAUGGUGUCCCAGUUUCCAGAAAUAGCUUUGUAGUAGGCCUUAAAUCACAAAAUGGAAGUGUUCAACUAAAGCUGCCCUUGGGGUCCCUGUCCCCAAAACUUUGUUCAAAGCCUAUCCAUGGACCCAUCAUACUGGAUAAACUGGGAAAAAAGGUUAAGAAGCCUCUCUCCCUGCAACACCUUUCUCCCUCACUAAAAAUGUCUCAGGGGUUAAAUGGCAUCAGCAACUUAAGCAGCACAAAACUUGAGAGUCGUAGGCAAAGCUCAUGGGAGAGCAAGAAUGCUGUACUAGCUACCUCACCUAAGCUCCUGCCUGAAGUGACUAUCAAUGGCCAUGGGCCAAAGAGUAAUGGUGAGUGUUCAGAUCCCAAGAGGAAGGAUUCCAUCAGCUCCAGCCCUGAAUACUCUUCCAGUGGUGAGACAGCCAGGGGGCCCGAGACCUCGAAGAGUGGAGUUGGCUGUUUCUAUACUUCUCAGGAAACAGACUAUUCUGCUGGUGAGCGUGCCAAAGAGCCACCUGGUGGAGAGGAUUCUAAGAUGGUGAAGUUAAAGUCCCCUGUCCUGACCAAUACUGCCACUGAGCCUACAAGCAUCAUGUCCCCCCCACCAGCCAAAAAACUGGCCCUUUCUUCCAAGAAGGCCAGCACCCUACGGAGGGCGACCGCCAAUGACCUCCAUUCACCUCCCCAUUCAUCAUUUGCUGACCACACCUACCCCACGAAAAUCACCCACCCUGUCUUCACUUCUUCUUGGCCUGUCAGUAAAAUCAGGGCUGUUUCACCUCUCAAAUCAUCAAAUACUAUGAAGUCUGCCUUCAACUCCUACUCAAUCAAAGCUUCACCACUACCCUCCAGCCUCAGGCCUUCAGGAAUGACUGAACCACAUAGCUGCUCCUUUGCUUCCAAUCCCCUGCCUCAGGUAAAUGGGGACUUUGUGUCCCCUUCACACCAGCAGCAGGGGACCAGCAGUGCCCCUUACAGCUUCUCCAAAAAGAGAAGGAAAAAGCAUAUAGGAGAAGACAGGCCAAUCAGAAGUUUGGAAGAAGAAAUAUCACAAAGAAAUGGGAAGGCAGCUGAUCUUUCUCAUAUAAAGAAAAAGAAAAAGAGGAAGCACAGAUCCUGGAUAGAAGUUGCUGCAUCUCUUAUUCAGGAAGAACAAACACAGAGUUGCAAUAGUGAGAUAGGAACAAAGUUAUGUUUAGAUGUGGCUGUUAAUGGGCUGGAAGAAGAAAGCAAAAACCAAGAGAUGAAUGACAGUCACAAAGGAGAUAUGACUGAUGCCCACUACCUUAGCAAGAAGAAGGAGAAAAAAAGAAAGAGAAUGGAGGAAUGUAAUGAAGAACAUUGUCAUUAUCAGAAAUCAUCUUUGGAUAGCAGCUGCUCUAUUUGGGACAAGGAAGAACCAGAGUCCAUUACAGAGACUCCAAGGAAAAAGAAAAAAAAGAAAAGAAAGCAAGAUUCAGAACAGGAAGGAGAAGAAAAUGAGCACCAAAAACACCAGAGAAAGGACUGCCAAAAUGACCCCAAGGUCAUCCCUAAAGAAAACACUUUUUGCAAGGAUAGCAAUCAGUCUCAAGCUUUGAAUGGCCAGCAUCCUGGAAAUGUUGCUCCAUAUAUGUUUUUGGAGAAGAAACAGGCUCCUCUUCAGCUCUGGAAUAGAGAGAAAGAAUCUAAUGUAGUCCAGGAAUUGCUCAAGUAUUCAUCUGAUAAAGCUUAUGGGAAAAAAGUUUUGACAUGGGAUGGUGAGAUGUCAGCCAUCAGUCAAGAUGCCAUUCAGUAUAGUAGACUGGCCCAGAAUGAGACAGUGAUUGAUGACUGGGACAAAGAAUUUGACUUUGGGAAGGAAAAGAAAACUAAGAAGUUCAAGCGAGAGAAGAGGAGAAACUUUAAUGCCUUCCAGAAACUUCAGAGUAGGCGGAACUUUUGGUCUGUGACCCAUCCUGCUAAGGUUACAAGCCUUAGUUAUCGCCGCUGAAGCUUGCUGCUACUAAGAAAGUUCUUUGCUACAGCAAGAAGUGCUGCCUUAAAUAUUUUUGUACAUACAAUAAGGAUUGAGGAAGCAGGCCUAGAAACAGGAGGUCCUGGGUUCAAAUCUGGGCUCAGAUACAUCCUAGGUGUGUGACCCUGGUCAAGUCACUUAAACCACUAUCCCCAUUGCCUCGCCCCUUCAACUCUUCUAUCUUAGAACUGUAUUGGUUUCAAGGCAGAAGCUUCCAGGAGAAAAAAGUAUCACUCUGUGAGCUGUAGCUGCUUGUCGUUGGAUCUAAAGAACAGAUGUUGUGGACCUUAAAUAACCCUGCUGCUUCAAGGGUGUUUACACUGUGAACCUAUCUUGGCAGGAGAAGUCUCCCUUCACUACUGUUACAGAUCAUCCUGAAAUAGAGUCUUAUGGACCAUUAUAUUAUGAAAAGGAAUGACUUUAAAGAUUGAGAGUCUUGGUGACUUCAAAAAUGGACUGUAGGAAAAACCAGAAUCUUAUGGUACUGGAGAGAUAGCAGUUUAGUGGGCUCAAGUCAAGGAUUGAGUUUAGUUUACUGAAUGAUUAGAGAUUCUUCCACAGCAAAGACAUCCAGCCAAAGGAGAUGUAGGUAUGGGGUAUAUAAAAGAUGCAAGGUGGAAGGAAGGACUAGAUAGUUUAUUGAAAACUAGCAGUUCCUCCCAAUGUGUCCUAAAAGUCAGGAACUUAAAGGAGGACAUACCAAAAAUUUAGUAACCUUAAUGGUGAAAAAUCAUCUGCACUACAACUGCUGGCAUUUUAAUAUGCUUCUGCUCACUUUCUUUUGGGGUAUGGAGCUGGCAUUUCUCUGAACCUUAGUGAUUUUUCUUUGCUUUUUCUAUCCAUCUUGCUGCAGUAAGCAGGAGUACUGUAGCAUUUCUUCUCUGGAAUGGGGACUUCAGUUAAUAUUUCUCUUUUUCCUUGAAAACUGCUGCUAUUGAUAUCUUUUAUAGAGUAUAAAGAGCUGAUUUUCUGCAGCCUGAGAUUGUAAUGAGCUGGAUUAUCUGUCCUUUGCUUCUAAGUAUGUAAUUUUUCUUAUUCUCCAGUAUGACUGUGAUAUAAUUCAUCUUACAGCUACAAUGAUGGUGGUGGUGGUCUUGGGGGUGAAACUUCUAUUUUAUUUUGAUAUUUAGUAUAAGAACAUGUGUUUAUUACCAGACCAUUGAUAAUGUAUAUUCCCUGUGCCCCUUUUCUGUAGUGCACAUCCAUUUUGUUUCUGUUCCUAUAAGUCCUUGUUUUAGAUGAUCCCCAAUAUUAUUUACUCUGCCUUCAGCAUUAGCAAUUUGAGAAGUAUGAAAAGCUCAGUUCAUUUGAUAUUUUAAGAAAACAAAACUACUACCAUAGAUAGAAAGAAGAAAGGUGAUAGAAAUUUCACAUUUGGGUAUCAAAUAGAGGAUCUGUAUGUGACUUAGAGUCAUUCCAACAAGUGAUAUUUUGCACAAAACCUACUGUUAUUUGUGCUUACUUUCUUCCUAAUUUAACUUUGUUUUAUAUUCUACCACAAUUUUAGUUGGGAUUUUAAUGUUGACUGUGUAGGCAGAAUCUGCUUUGGGGUAAUUAUCAGCAUUGUCUAGACCUUUAUUUUUAAAUGGACUUAUUCAUUCAACAAUCAUUUAUUAAGCGGCUACUAUUUACAGAGCACUAUUUUGAGAAUAAUAAUGCAUGUGGUCUGUCCUCAUUAAUUCAAGUCUUAGGAAAACACAAUUGUAGGGUUUACUAAUGCCAAUUGGGGGUUUUUUAUUUUGUUUUAUUUUAUUUUUUUGCCUUCCUCAGAGUGUAGGUUUCUGAAUGUCAAUUUAUACCAGAAUAUACCAUUCUCAUGAAAAGAAGAAGCAGUCAUUAAGUGUUCAUCUAUUGCCACGAUGGAGGAGAAGCAGCUGCUUUUUUUCAGUGUUUACUUCUUCCUUAUGUUGGAGUUUACCCCAUUACAGAAUAUCUCCCAAGCCAUUUUUUUGUAAUGCCCUAUAGCUGAAAAAAAAUUGUUUUAUUGGCAUCAUAUAGCCUCUUCUAUUUUUCUCCCUCACCUCCUAUUCCUUAACUCCAAACCCUUCAUAUAUAAUCUUUCCAUACUACAAUUAUGUCAUCUUUUCCCCAUACAGUGUUUGAAGAUAUAUAUAUAUAUAUAUUUAUAUAUAACUUUCCAAAGUAUUUUAUCAUUGUUCAAAUAUAGACUGGGUAUUUUCUUUUCUAAAAGAUGAUUAACCAUACUGGAAGAGGGAAGGAAUAGUGCCCAGAAAUAAUUUCUUAUGAACUUUAGAGUGACAUGUACACACACACACACACACAAAUCUAUACAUAGACAUAUAUAUAUAUAUAUAUAUAUAUAUAUAUAUAUAUAUAUAUAUAUAUAUAUAUAUAUAUAAAACUUUUAUAAUAGCAGUCAUUCUGCUGACUUAGAAUAUGAAUUUUAUCUAACUUUGCAUUUAGGAGGUGACUUGGGGUAGAGUGUGAUCUGUACCAUAAAGACUAUACCCCUUUGAGUACAAUAUCCCUCACAAACGAAUCGGCAUUGAUCAGCUUAUUUUAUUAACCUGGACUUCAUUUUGACAGUUUUUAAAGUCUCAUGUUUAAUGGUUGUAUAAUCUCUCUAAUGUAUGUGUGUAGAUAGAGAUGACAUCUUGUAUUAUGCACCUUUUGCUGAAGGGUGCUUGGUAGCCUCAAAUAUUGCCAAGAUCAUGGUGCAAUAAAGAAAUGAAUUUUUUUGACUUU